rnacentral:rRNA from 1 species
UACGUAGGGUGCGAGCGUUGUCCGGAAUUAUUGGGCGUAAAGAGCUCGUAGGUGGUUUGUCGCGUUGUUCGUGAAAACUCACAACUCAAUUGUGGGCGUGCGGGCGAUACGGGCAGACUGGAGUACUGCAGGGGAGACUGGAAUUCCUGGUGUAGCGGUGGAAUGCGCAGAUAUCAGGAGGAACACCGGUGGCGAAGGCGGGUCUCUGGGCAGUAACUGACGCUGAGGAGCGAAAGCGUGGGGAGCGAACAGG